rnacentral:rRNA from 1 species
UACGGAGGGGGCUAGCGUUGUUCGGAAUUACUGGGCGUAAAGCGCACGUAGGCGGACCAGAAAGUUGGGGGUGAAAUCCCGGGGCUCAACCUCGGAAUGGCCUUCAAAACUCCUGGUCUUGAGUUCGAGAGAGGUGAGUGGAAUUCCGAGUGUAGAGGUGAAAUUCGUAGAUAUUCGGAGGAACACCAGUGGCGAAGGCGGCUCACUGGCUCGACACUGACGCUGAGGUGCGAAAGCGUGGGGAGCAAACAGG